rnacentral:lncRNA from 1 species
GGAGGGUGGUGGCGGUGGGGCGGGGCCCAGAUGUGUAGCGGGAGGUGGUGGGGCCUGAGGAGGGUGGCGAGAGGUGGGGUGGGGCCCAGGUGAGUAGCGGGCGAAGGCGGGGCCUGAGGAGGACUGAGCUGGGGCGGGACCCAGCAGCUGCUCCAAGCUUUUCUGCCAUUUGAAGCUUCUUCUGGGAGCCAGCUGUGACCAGAGGAAUAGCUCCAGCCAUCCGGGUGAGUUGGAUAGCAGCUGUGCCCACACCACUCAGUCCUGCAUGGAUUAGC